UCUCUCUAGCUGCUUCCAAGUUUUGCUCCUAUUCAAAACUUCAGACAAGCACUGCUGGGCGGUUAAACAAAAGGGGGACUGUGAGCUCGGCAGCCCACCCAAGCGUUGGAGAACGAAGCUGCCCAGCCACUGUGGGAGGGGGAAUCUGCUGGAGAAAUGGAGGCACAAGGACAGAAGGGGCCCAAUGGGGCUACAAUACCCCUGAGAUUUCCACUGGCCGGGCGAGGAGACGCUGAGGGCCUGACUUCCCAGCGGUGCUCGUCAGCAGAGAGAGCUACUCAGCACCUCCAAAAUCAAGUCCACGCUGCCAUCAGUGAACUGGCGCCCCCAGAGUCAGAAGCCACCACUGAAGACGCUGGCCUCCGUGAUCUCCCCAGCAUCCCGUCGGCAGGCUACGCGGAGCCAGGCCUCCUGACUCCCAGCCUGGGGCCUCGAUCACAAGGGAAAACCAAUUCCACUGCAGCAGCGGCUCCCAGCCACAGUGCUGUGUGAAGAGAAGGAAGACAGAAGCAGGCGCUGCCACACGUCCGUGUCCAUAUGGUGACCUGUUUUACCCAGGGCCCUAGACACUACAGGUCCCCGAAGCUGUAGCAUUUGCCAAAGAAUCCAUCCCUUGCUGCAGAAUUUGCCCCGGAAGCUACUGUCUCCUCUACAAGAAAUGCUAGGCAGUUCUACAGCUGGUGUGAUUGCCAUGGCUCCAUUGGUGCCAAUGCUAGGCUGCUGUAGCCCAGCGGCGUGUCGGGCCUACCUUUCUAGCUCUUGUGGUUGAUGCCAACACUGUUAGCUGUUUCCCUGUUGAUCAUUUUAGCAAACAAUCCAGCCAAUGUGUUUAUCUCACAGUCCCAAAGGCCAGAGUCCAGACAAACUGUUUCCCUAAGCCUCCAGCUUACCCCUGUCGGCUUCCGGAAGGCCGUGGUGUGUUUUAAUGCACAAUUCUGCAGCCCCGGGCAAAUUCAAACUCACAGGGCAGCGUGAAACCAGUCGACUCGAGUGGCAGAUUAAACAACAGGAAGGAGACCCUGCUGACUGUAGCAUUAACUUUCAGAUGGAAUCUAAUUGACAUUUUCCUCAUUGGCUGGUGCAGAAUGAGCAUCACCCUUGCUGCACAGCGUACGGGGGGCCUUGCUUUUAGGUACCACGGCUAAGCCAUGGAGACUGAAAACGUGAACACCAACACUGGCUUGUGUCCAGUUUGUGUUAGGCACUCUGGCACCUGCAGGGGGCACUAUUCUCUCUCCUAUACCACAUGCAGCUGCCCAGACGCAACUUGAGCAGCCUGUGAAUGUGUUAGUUAUUUCCCAUUGAAUAGACAGUGAGCAGCACCCAGAGGGCAUUGGGCAAGACACCCCAGCUGAAUCCCUCCCAUCCCAUGUGGUGUCCAGUGCUCCUUGGCACUGAGAUGAAGCUGGAAUGUUUUCAGUCUGGGCUGCAGGGGGUCAGAAGCCACCAGUGUAAUGAUUGCCUGGACUCUGAUCAUGCAGGGAUCCCCCAGCCUGGCUUGAGAGGUGUCAGAUCCCAGAAACCCUCCAAUUCAUGCCCAUAAGAGGCAGAUACUUUCCUAUUCAUGUCCCUGUGUUUGGGCCUGGAGUAGUGCUUUAUA